ensembl:lncRNA
GGAUGGUUGGACUAGGUGAUCUUGUAGGUCUUUUCCAACCUAGCUAAUUCUAUGAUUCUAUGAUUCUAUGAUCUACUGGGGCUCUUGCAAAGGUUAAGCCUACUGCAGAACUUUAACUUUCCAAGCAGCAGGUGCAGUGGGAAGCCAAAAAUAAUAAUGCAUCUUAUGUGUCCUUCCUCUCAGCUCUGCCAAGUAGAAGAGUGACUCAAAUUUUUCUCUCAAUUUCUUGUUUUAGUUCAGUGAUCUUAGCAAAGGAGAAGUUGUCUGUGACAUGCUGAGGCAUGAUCUGCUAUCCAACCAGCAGGAAAGAGCUUAGAAUUUGGUGGGGAGAGAGCUUUACCUUUGCUUAUUGCUUUUGCAUUUCACAUUGGAAAGAGUAUCAGUGUUGAAAAAGACCAGCCCAACAGAAAAGCACUUGCACAUCGUUAACAUAGUUGCAUGAAUCUCUGAUCCAGAUGGCCAAAUGCAUUCUUACUUCAUGCCUUACUGAAGGGCUCAAGCCCAUACAGGAGUUAAUCUGAAAUCAUGGAAGUCAGAUAAACGACGAGCAUUUGUAAGACAGAAAGCAGAGUCAUAAUGAACCAGAAUUAGUUACAAACUAGACAGACAGUUUUUGUAAUUUGGGACUGUCUUCUGGCUGAGGAGGCACUUAGGCUGUGCUUCUGUCCUCCUGCAGGCAGUGAUCCUUCUGGCCUUGCCACACCAAAAUUUCAGAAAGGUGCAUAUCUCACCCCAGGUAGUCUCUAUUUCCCCCUUUUAGGUGCUGGAGAGAGAGAUGGGCUCAUGCAUUUUUAAAUAAGACAAAUAUUUGAAGUAAUGUGUGAUUUCACAUGUAAAUGAGCCAGAUGUGAUUAUGCAGCAGCAACCAAGGUCUGUCCUAACCACUGAGCUGUCCUGGAAGAUCCACCACCACAGCAGCAGAGCAGCCAGUGAUCUUGUUUGAGAGAUGUGUAGACAAGCAGCACUCCUCAAAUGUCAAGAGGAUUUGGGUUCAUCACCAAUCCCACUGCCCUGAGACCCAGAACAGGAGUGGUUUCAUUCAUGAUGCCUCACUGCCAGAGCUCAUUAGUGAAAAAAUCCUGUUUGCCACAGCAAUACCAGCAGGGACUCUGCUUCUCAAAUACAAAGCUCCCUCCUACAGAUGCACAUCAGUACAUGAGGUGAACUUCAGAAAUGUGUUUUAUGGCAGGAAGAUUCUAUGGAAUAACAAGAUGACAAAUAAGGUAUGCUAUGAGCUCAUUAACUGAGACUCUUUCGUAAUUGUCAUCCAUAAUGCUUUGGCUUCUCCUGUUGUUCUCCUUUUCUUUUGUCUAUUCCUGCACUGUUGUUUAAUUGAAAAAAAAAAAAGAAUUCAAAAUUUUCUUGAGAAAGAAAAGGAUACAGGUGUGUAGAUAUUAAAGGAUAUUUUUAGCCUGGUGUUUGAGGAAGAUUUUAUUACCACUGUUGAAAACAACUGAAGGUGAAAGUGAAUUCAGGCUGCUUCAGGGUCAGGGUGAUCCAGACUGAACAGCUGCCAGAUGCUUGCCUGGGAUCUCUGAAGAAUUUGCAACCAGCAGUUUAGUCUCCUUCUCAAGGAGAGUGAAGUUAGAAGGAGGCAGAGGAUCCACCAUCAUGUGACCGAUCUCUUUUUGUUUCUUUCAUGGAAAUACUGCUGCUGUUGCAAAAGUCACAAAGGUUCCUGCUCCAAAACCUGCUGCUUCCUGAUCCACUGGUGCAAAGCAUCCUCUGUCCAUGCUGGUAGAUCCCAAAUAUGUUGUCCUGGCUUGGAAUUUGGCUGGUUGAUUAUGUGAUAUUGGAGUACUUUGCUUGCUCUGAGAAAAUGCACCUUCCUUACCAGGUGUUGUUUGCCUGGAGCAGCUACACAGACUAACAGCUACAAUGCAAAAAACCAAUUCCUUUAAAUAAAC